rnacentral:rRNA from 1 species
UACGGGGGGGGCAAGCGUUGUUCGGAAUUACUGGGCGUAAAGCGUCUGUAGGUGGUUUAAUAAGUCAACUGUUAAAUCUUGAGGCUCAACCUCAAAAUCGCAGUCGAAACUAUUAAGCUAGAGUAUAGUAGGGGUAAAGGGAAUUUCCAGUGGAGCGGUGAAAUGCGUAGAGAUUGGAAAGAACACCGAUGGCGAAGGCACUUUACUGGGCUAUUACUAACACUCAGAGACGAAAGCUAGGGUAGCAAAUGGG